UUGCGCCACUGCACUCCAGCCUGGCAACAGAAUGAGACUCCCAUCUAAAAAAAAAACAAAACAAAACAAAAAAACUUGUUCCCAAUUCUAAAUCCAUCAUUAUAAAAUGUUUAAAACUUUUUUUAAUAUGGUGAAGGGAAACAUUUCUAUGACACUGUUCUUUUUGACUAUUAUAGCUCUGUUCUAUUUUUAGCAGUCUAGAGAGAAGUGUGGAAAAAAAAGAGAAAGCAAAGUUAGUAGGGUGAACUCUAUUUUAAUUACCUUAGAAGUUUUUUAAAUGCAGCUGCUCAAACAAAAAUAAAUGAAAAACAUAUCAAAAGUAUUUUCACAUU
rnacentral:lncRNA from 1 species